UACGAAGGGGGCUAGCGUUGCUCGGAAUCACUGGGCGUAAAGCGCACGUAGGCGGCUUUUUAAGUCAGGGGUGAAAUCCUGGAGCUCAACUCCAGAACUGCCUUUGAUACUGAGAAGCUUGAGUCCGGGAGAGGUGAGUGGAACUGCGAGUGUAGAGGUGAAAUUCGUAGAUAUUCGCAAGAACACCAGUGGCGAAGGCGGCUCACUGGCCCGUUACUGACGCUGAGGCGCGAAAGCGUGGGGAGCAAACAGG
rnacentral:rRNA from 1 species